rnacentral:rRNA from 1 species
CGAAAGCCUGACGGAGCAAGACCGCGUGCGGGAGGAAGGUCUAUUGAUUGUAAACCGCUUUUGAUAGGGAAGAAGAUCUGACGGUACCUAUCGAAUCAGCAUCGGCUAACUCCGUGCCAGCAGCCGCGGUAAUACGGGGGAUGCAAGCGUUAUCCGGAAUUAUUGGGCGUAAAGCGUCCGUAGGUGGUUUUAAAAGUCUGUUGUCAAAUCGCGAGGCUUAACCUCGUACAGGCAGUGGAAACUAUAAGACUAGAGUGCGGUAGGGGUAGAGGGAAUUUCCAGUGUAGCGGUGAAAUGCGUAGAUAUUGGAAAGAACACCGGUGGCGAAGGCGCUCUACUGGGCCUGCACUGACACUGAGGGACGAAAGCU